CUACAUGAAGCUGGAAUCGCUAGUAAUCGCGAAUCAGAAUGUCGCGGUGAAUACGUUCCCGGGUCUUGUACACACCGCCCGUCACACCAUGGGAGUCGGAAAUGCCCGAAGCCUGUGAGCUAACUUAAAGAGGCAGCAGUCGAAGGUAGAGCCAAUGAUUGGGGUGAAGUCGUAACAAGGUAUC
rnacentral:rRNA from 1 species